AGCGUGUGGUUUAAUUCGAGGCUACGCGAAGAACCUUACCUGGGCUUGACAUGCUUCGGAAAGCCUGGUGAAAGCCAGGUCCUCCCGCAAGGGACCGUUGCACAGGUGGUGCAUGGCUGUCGUCAGCUCGUGCCGUGAGGUGUUGGGUUAAGCCCCGCAACGAGCGCAACCCCUGUCCUUAGUUGAAUGCUCUAGGGAGACUGCCGGGCGAAACCCGGAGGAAGGUGGGGAUGAUGUCAAGUCAGCAUGCCCUUUAUGCCCAGGGCUACACACACGCUACAAUGGCCGGUACAACGGGCUCCGACACGGCGACGUGAAGGUAAUCCCUUAAAACCGGUCUCAGUUCGGAUUGCAGGCUGCAACCCGCCUGCAUGAAGUCGGAGUUGCUAGUAACCGCCGGUCAGCACACGGCGGUGAAUACGUUCCCGGGCCUUGCACUCACCGCCCGUC
rnacentral:rRNA from 1 species